GAUUACAGGUCAGCUCUCCUGAAUGUAGAUGUCAAAAUCCGAAACCAAACGUGAGCAGUCUAAAUCCAGAGAUUUAGAAAGGAACUAAACUGAGAUUUCAUGAUAGGAAUUCCAUGGAUUGAUGUGGACAAGAUCACUGGGUGUCUGGGUGCUGCCGGGGAGAGUGGUAACAAGGGACAAGACCAUUGAGUUAAUGGAAUGAACAUUUGGCAACUGAGGGGAGGAGGGGCUGGUGAUCCUCAGGGAGGGUCCUGGGGUGAGGUGUCCAGGCUGUGACCAUGGAGGGGUCCCUCUAAGAGGAGACGGGACUCCGUCCCCUGCCACUGAAGGAUCUAGGAAUGGGUGAGGAGUUUGUUGAGUAGAGACUGGAUUUUGGUGAGGAAGGAAUGAGCAGGGAAGGUGCAGCCACUGCCCAUUCUCAGCCAGGCAUUAGUCCAGGCUGCUCAGACAGGUGCACAGAUCAAUAGUCAGUCAGCCAUUGAGGGUCACAGACUUAAUUCAUUAAACCACCAAAGCACCAACCCAGAUGGCCACUUUCCCAGUUAAUUCAUAUUAACUGCUCAUCCAGGGUUGGUCUGUUGGAGGGAAGUUAAGUCUUGGCAGAGCCAUCAGGUGACAGUUGAUUUGGAAUGUCCUGAGUUCUGAGCCAGCUUGUCUGUCAUGCAGGCCACUGGUCACUCAGGGUUGUCAACUGGUCAUCAGCGAGGCUCAAUGUGAGAGAGCUGUUGGUGUGAAGACGGUGGGGAAGGAUGGCUCCUGUUGGACUUCUCCUAGUCUUUCAAAGGGGUUUCCUUUUGAGGAAACUGGAUUGUAUUUUGAGUCAGCGAUUGAAACCUAGAGGCAGGAGGCUGGGUCAAGGUUUGGGGCCUUAUCUCGUCUCAGGCACCUCUUCCUGGGCGUCAACUGUCUUCUGCAGAAACCCUGGGGCAGGAUAUUUUGAGAAAGAGAGUGAGGGGAGCUCCUGAUUCAUGUACAGGGCACUAUCUGGAGGUCUCAGGUGUUUAGAGAUCUCUGUCCUCACAGAACCAAAUACAUUCCUGUCCAAGAAUCAUGAUGCAUCAGUGUUGUGCCUCUGGACAAGCCUCUUAAAAUCUCUAAAUUUCAAUGCUGUGAACUACAUAAGGAUCUUAACCUGAUGAAUACCAAAAGAAAACUGGUUCCUCAUUUAAGAAGAUAUUCAUCUCACCCCAAGCAGCAGAUCAGAAAAAUGGAUAUCCUACCACAUCCCAAGGUGCACCCUAAAAACAAGUCAGCUGAAGGUACUGUGGAAAUUAAACCACCAAGUAGAUUUCAAGAAUAAUGAUUGAAGUUUAUUCAGUGUAACUUAUGUGACAGAAAACUAUAAAAAUGCUAAACCAUGUU